rnacentral:rRNA from 1 species
AUUGAACGCUGGCGGCAGGCCUAACACAUGCAAGUCGAGCGGCAGCGGAAAGUAGCUUGCUACUUUGCCGGCGAGCGGCGGACGGGUGAGUAAUGUCUGGGAAACUGCCUGAUGGAGGGGGAUAACUACUGGAAACGGUAGCUAAUACCGCAUAACGUCGCAAGACCAAAGAGGGGGACCUUCGGGCCUCUUGCCAUCAGAUGUGCCCAGAUGGGAUUAGCUAGUAGGUGGGGUAAUGGCUCACCUAGGCGACGAUCCCUAGCUGGUCUGAGAGGCUGACCAGCGAAACUGGAACUGGGACACGGUCCAGACUCCUACGGGAGGCAGCAGUGGGGAAUAUUGCACAAUGGGCGCAAGCCUGAUGCAGCCAUGCCGCGUGUAUGAAGAAGGCCUUCGGGUUGUAAAGUACUUUCAGCGGGGAGGAAGGUGCUGAGGUUAAUAACCUCAGCAAUUGACGUUACCCGCAGAAGAAGCACCGGCUAACUCCGUGCCAGCCGCCGCAGUAA